AGAAUCAACGCUGGCGGCGUGCCUAACACAUGCAAGUCGAACGAGAAAGUGGAGCAAUCCAUGAGUAAAGUGGCGCACGGGUGAGUAACACGUGACUAACCUACCUUUUAGUGGGGGAUAACCUAGGGAAACCUGGGCUAAUACCGCAUAAUACCUACGGGUCAAAGCAGCAAUGCGCUGAAAGAGGGGGUCGCGGUCGAUUAGUUAGUUGGCAGGGUAAUGGCCUACCAAGACUGUGAUCGAUAUCCGGCCUGAGAGGGCGCACGGACACACUGGAACUGAAACACGGUCCAGACUCCUACGGGAGGCAGCAGUGGGGAAUUUGCGCAAUGGGGGAAACCCUGACGCAGCAACGCCGCGUGGAGGAUGAAGUCCCUUGGGACGUAAACUCCUUUCGAUCGGGACGAUAAUGACGGUACCGGAAGAAGAAGCCCGGCUAACUUCGCGCCAGCAGCCGC
rnacentral:rRNA from 1 species